rnacentral:lncRNA from 12 species
GAUCUAACUUUGCUUCCAUAUGACAACCUAGUUAUUCCUUUAUUUACUGAGUAAGCUCUCUUUUCUUUUUUUUUUUUAAAGAUUUUAUUUAUUUAUUCAUGAUAGUCACAGAGAGAGAGAGAGAGAGAGAUACAGAGACACAGGCAGAGGGAGAAGCAGGCUCCAUGCAGGGAGCCCGACGUGGGACUCGAUCCCAGGUCUCCAGGAUCGCACCCUGGGCCAAAGGCAGGCGCCAAACCGCUGCACCACCCAGGGAUCCCAAGCUCUCUUUUCCACACGGAUUGGAGCUAUGUGAAAACUGAAUUGAAGAGGAGGAGACAUAGAUGCAGGAAGACCAGCUAGGAGACCAGGGUAAGAAGAGAGGAAGACAUGACAAGAAUCCGACAUAUCAUGU